rnacentral:rRNA from 1 species
UUUGGUUAAGUUAGAAAGGGCGCACGGUGGAUGCCUUGACACUAGGAGUCGAUGAAGGACGGGACUAACGCCGAUAUGCUUCGGGGAGCUGUAAGUAAGCUUUGAUCCGAAGAUUUCCGAAUGGGGAAACCCACCAUACGUAAUGGUAUGGUAUCCUUAUCUGAAUACAUAGGGUAAGGAAGACAGACCCAGGGAACUGAAACAUCUAAGUACCUGGAGGAAGAGAAAGCAAAUGCGAUUUCCUGAGUAGCGGCGAGCGAAACGGAACAUAGCCCAAACCAAGAGGCUUGCCUCUUGGGGUUGUAGGACAUUCUAUACGGAGUUACAAAGGAACGAGGUAGACGAAGCGACCUGGAAAGGUCCGUCGUAGAGGGUAACAACCCCGUAGUCGAAACUUCGUUCUCUCUUGAAUGUAUCCUGAGUACGGCGGAACACGUGAAAUUCCGUCGGAAUCUGGGAGGACCAUCUCCCAAGGCUAAAUACUCCCUAGUGAUCGAUAGUGAACCAGUACCGUGAGGGAAAGGUGAAAAGCACCCCGGAAGGGGAGUGAAAGAGAUCCUGAAACCGUGUGCCUACAAAUAGUCAGAGCCCGUUAACGGGUGAUGGCGUGCCUUUUGUAGAAUGAACCGGCGAGUUACGAUCCCGUGCGAGGUUAAGCUGAAGAGGCGGAGCCGCAGCGAAAGCGAGUCUGAAUAGGGCGUUUAGUACGUGGUCGUAGACCCGAAACCAGGUGAUCUACCCAUGUCCAGGGUGAAGUUCAGGUAACACUGAAUGGAGGCCCGAACCCACGCACGUUGAAAAGUGCGGGGAUGAGGUGUGGGUAGCGGAGAAAUUCCAAUCGAACCUGGAGAUAGCUGGUUCUCCCCGAAAUAGCUUUAGGGCUAGCCUUAAGUGUAAGAGUCUUGGAGGUAGAGCACUGAUUGGACUAGGGGUCCUCAUGGGAUUACCGAAUUCAGUCAAACUCCGAAUGCCAAUGACUUAUCCUUAGGAGUCAGACUGCGAGUGAUAAGAUCCGUAGUCAAAAGGGAAACAGCCCAGACCGCCAGCUAAGGUCCCAAAGUGUGUAUUAAGUGGAAAAGGAUGUGGAGUUGCUUAGACAACUAGGAUGUUGGCUUAGAAGCAGCCACCAUUUAAAGAGUGCGUAAUAGCUCACUAGUCGAGUGACUCUGCGCCGAAAAUGUACCGGGGCUAAAUACACCACCGAAGCUGCGGAUUGAUACCGAAUGGUAUCAGUGGUAGGGGAGCGUUCUAAGGACAGUGAAGUCAGACCGGAAGGACUGGUGGAGUGCUUAGAAGUGAGAAUGCCGGUAUGAGUAGCGAAAGACGGGUGAGAAUCCCGUCCACCGAAUGCCUAAGGUUUCCUGAGGAAGGCUCGUCCGCUCAGGGUUAGUCAGGACCUAAGCCGAGGCCGACAGGCGUAGGCGAUGGACAACAGGUUGAUAUUCCUGUACCACCUCUUUAUCGUUUGAGCAAUGGAGGGACGCAGAAGGAUAGAAGAAGCGUGCGAUUGGUUGUGCACGUCCAAGCAGUUAGGCUGAUAAGUAGGCAAAUCCGCUUAUCAUAAAGGCUGAGCUGUGAUGGGGAAGCUCCUUAUGGAGCGAAGUCUUUGAUUCCCCGCUGCCAAGAAAAGCUUCUAGCGAGAUAAAAGGUGCCUGUACCGCAAACCGACACAGGUAGGCGAGGAGAGAAUCCUAAGGUGUGCGAGAGAACUCUGGUUAAGGAACUCGGCAAAAUGACCCCGUAACUUCGGGAGAAGGGGUGCUUUCUUAACGGAAAGCCGCAGUGAAUAGGCCCAAGCGACUGUUUAGCAAAAACACAGCUCUCUGCGAAGCCGUAAGGCGAAGUAUAGGGGGUGACACCUGCCCGGUGCUGGAAGGUUAAGGAGAGGGGUUAGCGUAAGCGAAGCUCUGAACUGAAGCCCCAGUAAACGGCGGCCGUAACUAUAACGGUCCUAAGGUAGCGAAAUUCCUUGUCGGGUAAGUUCCGACCCGCACGAAAGGUGUAACGAUUUGGGCACUGUCUCAACCAGAGACUCGGUGAAAUUAUAGUACCUGUGAAGAUGCAGGUUACCCGCGACAGGACGGAAAGACCCCGUGGAGCUUUACUGUAGCCUGAUAUUGAAUUUUGGUACAGUUUGUACAGGAUAGGCGGGAGCCUUUGAAACCGGAGCGCUAGCUUCGGUGGAGGCGCUGGUGGGAUACCGCCCUGACUGUAUUGAAAUUCUAACCUACGGGUCUUAUCGACCCGGGAGACAGUGUCAGGUGGGCAGUUUGACUGGGGCGGUCGCCUCCUAAAGUGUAACGGAGGCGCCCAAAGGUUCCCUCAGAAUGGUUGGAAAUCAUUCGUAGAGUGCAAAGGCAUAAGGGAGCUUGACUGCGAGACCUACAAGUCGAGCAGGGACGAAAGUCGGGCUUAGUGAUCCGGUGGUUCCGCAUGGAAGGGCCAUCGCUCAACGGAUAAAAGCUACCCCGGGGAUAACAGGCUUAUCUCCCCCAAGAGUCCACAUCGACGGGGAGGUUUGGCACCUCGAUGUCGGCUCAUCGCAUCCUGGGGCUGUAGUCGGUCCCAAGGGUUGGGCUGUUCGCCCAUUAAAGCGGUACGCGAGCUGGGUUCAGAACGUCGUGAGACAGUUCGGUCCCUAUCCGUCGUGGGCGUAGGAAAUUUGAGAGGAGCUGUCCUUAGUACGAGAGGACCGGGAUGGACGCACCGCUGGUGUACCAGUUGUUCUGCCAAGGGCAUAGCUGGGUAGCUAUGUGCGGAAGGGAUAAGUGCUGAAAGCAUCUAAGCAUGAAGCCCCCCUCAAGAUGAGAUUUCCCAUAGCGUAAGCUAGUAAGAUCCCUGAAAGAUGAUCAGGUUGAUAGGUUCGAGGUGGAAGCAUGGUGACAUGUGGAGCUGACGAAUACUAAUAGAUCGAGGACUUAACCAUAUAA